CCUACGGGAGGCAGCAGUGGGGAAUCUUAGACAAUGGGGGCAACCCUGAUCUAGCCAUGCCGCGUGAGUGAUGAAGGCCUUAGGGUCGUAAAGCUCUUUCGCCUGUGAUGAUAAUGACAGUAGCAGGUAAAGAAACCCCGGCUAACUCCGUGCCAGCAGCCGCGGUAAUACGGAGGGGGUUAGCGUUGUUCGGAAUUACUGGGCGUAAAGCGCGCGUAGGCGGAUUAGAAAGUUGGGGGUGAAAUCCCGGGGCUCAACCUCGGAACUGCCUCCAAAACUGCUAGUCUAGAGUUCGAGAGAGGUGAGUGGAAUUCCGAGUGUAGAGGUGAAAUUCGUAGAUAUUCGGAGGAACACCAGUGGCGAAGGCGGCUCACUGGCUCGAUACUGACGCUGAGGUGCGAAAGUGUGGGGAGCAAACAGGAUUAGAUACCCUGGUAGUCCACACCGUAAACGAUGAAUGCCAGUCGUCGGGUAGUAUACUAUUCGGUGACACACCUAACGGAUUAAGCAUUCCGCCUGGGGAGUACGGUCGCAAGAUUAAAACUCAAAGGAAUUGACGG
rnacentral:rRNA from 3 species